rnacentral:rRNA from 1 species
UACAGAGGGUGCAAGCGUUAAUCGGAAUUACUGGGCGUAAAGCGUGCGCAGGCGGCUUUGCAAGACAGAUGUGAAAUCCCCGGGCUCAACCUGGGAACUGCAUUUGUGACUGCAAGGCUAGAGUACGGCAGAGGGGGAUGGAAUUCCGCGUGUAGCAGUGAAAUGCGUAGAUAUGCGGAGGAACACCAAUGGCGAAGGCAAUCCCCUGGGCCUGCACUGACGCUCAUGCACGAAAGCGUGGGGAGCAAACAGG